rnacentral:rRNA from 1 species
GUGGGGAAUUUUGGACAAUGGGCGCAAGCCUGAUCCAGCCAUGCCGCGUGCAGGAAGAAGCAUCUAUGGUGUGUAAACUGCUUUUGUACGGGAAGAAACACUCCUUCGUGAAGGAGCUUGACGGUACCGUAAGAAUAAGGAUCGGCUAACUCCGUGCCAGCAGCCGCGGUAAUACGGAGGAUCCAAGCGUUAUCCGGAAUCAUUGGGUUUAAAGGGUCCGUAGGCGGUUUGGUAAGUCAGUGGUGAAAGCCCGCAGCUCAACUGUGGAACGGCCAUUGAUACUGCCAGACUUGAAUUACAAGGAAGUAACUAGAAUAUGUAGUGUAGCGGUGAAAUGCUUAGAUAUUACAUGGAAUACCAAUUGCGAAGGCAGGUUACUACUUGUGGAUUGACGCUGAUGGACGAAAGCGUGGGGAGCGAACAGGAUUAGAUACCCCGGUAGUCC